rnacentral:lncRNA from 1 species
AAUGAAUAAUAAUAUACCUAAAAAUGGAGGAACUAAAGCAAAUGUUUUUAAUUUCUGCUCACUGGGCUUUUUAGCUCACCCCCUCUCCCCUAACCCCAGUCUUGCAGGUACAGUGUAGAUAGAGAAGUCAGAAGAGUAAGAGAAGUUUAUGUAAUAGAAUAGCUGUGGACAUGGUUCAAAUGUAAUGUAAAGUAUUGAAUGUAAUGUAAUGAAAGUUUAGAAAUGU